rnacentral:rRNA from 1 species
AUACGUAGGGGGCGAGCGUUGUCCGGAAUGACUGGGCGUAAAGGGUACGUAGGCGGCCAGAUAAGUCAGAUGUGAAAGGCAUGGGCUUAACCCGUGUUAGCAUUUGAAACUGUGUGGCUUGAGUUAAGGAGAGGAAAGUGGAAUUCCUGGUGUAGCGGUGAAAUGCGUAGAUAUCAGGAGGAAUACCAGUGGCGAAGGCGACUUUCUGGACUUAAACUGACGCUGAGGUACGAAAGCGUGGGGAGCAAACAGGAUUAGAUACCCUGGUAGUCCACGCCGUAAACGAUGAGUGCUAGGUGUCGGGGGUCGAACCUCGGUGCCGGAGCUAACGCAUUAAGCACUCCGCCUGGGGAGUACGUUCGCAAGAAUGAA